GUGGGGAAUAUUGGACAAUGGGCGAAAGCCUGAUCCAGCCAUGCCGCGUGUGUGAAGAAGGUCUUCGGAUUGUAAAGCACUUUAAGUUGGGAGGAAGGGCAGUAAGUUAAUACCUUGCUGUUUUGACGUUACCGACAGAAUAAGCACCGGCUAACUUCGUGCCAGCAGCUGCGGUAAUACGAAGGGUGCAAGCGUUAAUCGGAAUUACUGGGCGUAAAGCGCGCGUAGGUGGUUCAGCAAGUUGAAGGUGAAAUCCCCGGGCUCAACCUGGGAACUGCCUCCAAAACUGCAUGACUAGAGUACGGUAGAGGGUAGUGGAAUUUCCUGUGUAGCGGUGAAAUGCGUAGAUAUAGGAAGGAACACCAGUGGCGAAGGCGACUACCUGGACUGAUACUGACACUGAGGUGCGAAAGCGUGGGGAGCAAACAGGAUUAGAAACCCCAGUAGUCC
rnacentral:rRNA from 1 species